rnacentral:rRNA from 1 species
GUUUUGAUCCUGGCUCAGGAUGAACGCUGGCGGCGUGCUUAACACAUGCAAGUCGAACGAUGAAGCCCAGCUUGCUGGGUGGAUUAGUGGCGAACGGGUGAGUAACACGUGAGUAACCUGCCCUUAACUCUGGGAUAAGCCUGGGAAACUGGGUCUAAUACCGGAUAGGAGCGUCCACCGCAUGGUGGGUGUUGGAAAGAUUUAUCGGUUUUGGAUGGACUCGCGGCCUAUCAGCUUGUUGGUGAGGUAAUGGCUCACCAAGGCGACGACGGGUAGCCGGCCUGAGAGGGUGACCGGCCACACUGGGACUGAGACACGGCCCAGACUCCUACGGGAGGCAGCAGUGGGGAAUAUUGCACAAUGGGCGAAAGCCUGAUGCAGCGACGCCGCGUGAGGGAUGACGGCCUUCGGGUUGUAAACCUCUUUCAGUAGGGAAGAAGCGAAAGUGACGGUACCUGCAGAAGAAGCACCGGCUAACUACGUGCCAGCAGCCGCGGUAAUACGUAGGGUGCGAGCGUUAUCCGGAAUUAUUGGGCGUAAAGAGCUCGUAGGCGGUUUGUCGCGUCUGUCGUGAAAGUCCGGGGCUUAACCCCGGAUCUGCGGUGGGUACGGGCAGACUAGAGUGCAGUAGGGGAGACUGGAAUUCCUGGUGUAGCGGUGGAAUGCGCAGAUAUCAGGAGGAACACCGAG